GUGAGCUAGCGGGCAAGUCACUUCUGACAUAACGAAGAGGAAACUCCUCCCUCAUUACAGGAACCUGAAUUAGCGAUAAUUAGAAGGAUACUUCUGGCAACGAAAUAGAAAAGAAUUCAGAUUAAAUCAUUGGCGAUGAGGACUAGUAAUCUGAGCGAUUUUAGCUGAAAUGAAACUGUCGUCCCAGGUUGAGAAAGGCCAAAUAGAGUUUGAAUCCUGUAUGUAUACUCAGGUAGGCUGCUUAGCUGAAUCUUGCCUAAAACAAAAGGAGGGUUACUACUAGUACAC
rnacentral:RNase_P_RNA from 1 species